rnacentral:rRNA from 1 species
AUGAACGCUGGCGGCGUGCCUAACACAUGCAAGUCGAACGAUCUUGAUUUAUAGCAAUAUUAUUAAAGAGGAGUGGCGAACGGGUGAGUAACACGUAGAUAAUCUGCCUUCAGACGGGGACAACUCAGGGAAACUUGUGCUAAUACCCGAUGAGACCACAAGAAGGGAUUUUUGUGGCCAAAGGCGGGCAGCAAUGCUCGUGCUGAAAGAUGAGUCUGCGUCCUAUCAGCUAGUUGGUGGGGGUAAAUGCCUACCAAGGCUAAGACGGGUAGCCGGCCUGAGAGGGUGAACGGCCACACUGGGACUGAGACACGGCCCAGACUCCUACGGGAGGCAGCAGUGAGGAAUUUUCCGCAAUGGGCGCAAGCCUGACGGAGCGACGCCGCGUGAGGGAUGACAGCUUUCGGGUUGUAAACCUCUUUUAUUAAGGAAAAAGAUCUAUAUGCUAAUAUCAUGUAGAUUUGAUGGUACUUAUUGAAUAAGCCCCGGCUAACUACGUGCCAGCCGCCGC